rnacentral:rRNA from 1 species
CCUACGGGAGGCAGCAGUGAGGAAUAUUGGUCAAUGGUCGGAAGACUGAACCAGCCAAGCCGCGUGAGGGAGGAAGGUACUGCGGAUCGUAAACUGCUUUUGUAAGGGAACAAAGCCUGGUACGUGUCCCCGUUUGCGUGUACCUUAUGAAAAAGCAUCGGCUAAAUCCGUGCCAGCAGCCGCGGUAAUACGGAGGAUCCGUGCGUUAUCCGGAUUUAUUGGGUUUAAAGGGAGCGGAGGCGGGAUGGUAAGUUAGCGGUGAAAGGUCCGGGCUCAACCCCGGCCGGGCAGUUGAAACUGGCAGUCUUGAGUUGGGGAGAGGCAGGCGGAAUGCGGGGUGUAGCGGUGAAAUGCGUAGAUAUCGCGAAGAACCCCGAUUGCGAAGGCAGCUUGCUGGCUCGACACUGACGCUGAGGCACGAAAGCGUGGGUAUCGAACAGGAUUAGAUACCCUUGUAGUC